ACAUAUUAGCAACCGCACAAAAAGGGUAAUAAGUGCUAAUGCCACCCCUAUGGCGUGUCUUAAAAAUAAU
rfam:Firmicutes bacterium CAG:313 genomic scaffold, scf25